AAAGUCUGUGCGAAAUUUGUAAAUCACCCCCCGCUACCACGCGAACGUCAACGUUGCUUGUUUGACAGACAAGAUUGUCUGGCCGCUGUGCACUCACACAGCCGUGCGCGCUCACUUCCGCUGAAAAGGAAAGCUCAUUCAGUGUUCGCCAACGUGAGGAGCGGUCGUGCGGUGGAAGAAGUUCCACGCAAACCGUGUGCGCAGUUGUUCUGCUCCGCGAAAAGUGCUCGCCCCGCCGUAAAGUUGUGAAGUCCCGCAGGAGGACGCCCGAAGUUAACGUCCUCAGAAGCAUCUACCGUGGCUGGCCCUCGUCGGGAAGAAAAACCGGCACCGUCCGCCGGCGAGGGCCAAAAAUGACGGACGACGAUAUUUGCACCGAAGGGACGAAUCGGCACCGGAGCCGGCCUGCUGCCUUGGAUCACUGGACGAAACACGCCGCGCGCGCGGCAUGUUGGGAGUGAACAAUCUCCGCAAGAUCAACGCAGGCGGGGAGAAAGUUUGGACGACGGCGGAGGCACGUGGAAUCCGUUUGCUCCGCGGCGGUGCUCGUAAGUGGAAAUGUUGGCCGGUCGGGCCUAGGUGAAGAAUCCCGCGCGGACGCGGGCAAAGGGCGGCUCGCCACGCGGCAAUUGGCGAUCGUAGGUUGAGCAAGUGAGAGAGCAAGAGGAGGAGGCAAAGUGAGAAGAGCCGGGGAAGGAAAAAGAAGGAGGAAGAAGAAAACGGAAAAAUGCUAGAUGCCGAAAGGGCGCGUGGAGCACGAAAGAAGAAGAAAAGAGAGAGCAAGAAGAAGAGCAUCAGGAAGAUGUUGUACGCACACACACACACACACACUCACACUCACACCAUCAAUCGGUUCAAUACACAUGUUAAAAGACGAA